AAUACCAAAAAACAUUUUACUGUACCACAAAAAAACAUGCUUAAUUUUCGUUAGCUAGGCUGUCUCUUUUUUCAAUGGGCUAUUAUACUUUCAUGUAGAAAAUUAACCAUGGUUUUACUAUAGUUAAAACAAAAAACAUAGUAGAACCAUGGUUUUGCUAGUAACCAAUACACCAAAAAAACAUGUUUACACUUUUACCACAAUAAAACCAUGGUAAAUUUUCGUAAGGGCUAUAUGCACAUUGUGUUUUGGGGUAUAUUUAUGCAGAUACAGGCCCAUACAAAUUCUAAACCGUAGACAUUGUGUGUGUGUGUUUGUGUGUGUGUACGUGUAUUGCAAUAAACUCGAAUUAUAUGUAUAUCCUACAGAAAAUGCAGUAUUAAUGCUAAAAAGUGAUUUGUCCUGCAUCAUCACUAUGUUGUAUUCGUUUAAAAAAAACGGCGCCAAGAAAGAAAGGACAUGCGCAUUGUUCUCCUGAGCCAGUUAACGUAGAGCUGGUACAUUGCUGUCUUCACUGGAGUGCUGCAAGCUCGAAGUGUGGCUGCAGCACUUCUCGCUCGUAACGUGAAACUUAAAAACACGCCAAGGAGUGGAUGCAAGUGAACUAUCAAUCUACUGAAACAGAAGCGGGAAAUGUAUUCGAAGACGAAAAUGCUCGCGCGACCUGUGCGUCAGACCCGGAUAAACGCACGCGAGCUGACAAAAUCCUGAGUAGCUGUUAUUCAACAUAAACACAUUUCCGGACACAUGAAGAUGGAUGAAUAUAGUUCAUCUUAAAAUGAAACUUAUGUUUAUCAGCUUACCCCCAGGCCAUCUAAGAG